CUGGGAGCGUGGGGCUAUUUUCGAUGGAGUGUUUAACUGUUCACAAUGGCUGCUGACCUUCACAUAUUUUUCAGCUACCUGUCUUGCUACCCUGACUUGAUAAGAGCCACAUCAGAUGAUGCCAGUCCAACACCUGGGUACCUUCUACACAAAAUAUCAGAGGUGACCCUCACCUCGCCUGCC